UACAGAGGUCUCAAGCGUUGUUCGGAUUCAUUGGGCGUAAAGGGUGCGUAGGCGGCGCGGUAAGUCGGGUGUGAAAUCUUGGAGCUUAACUCCGAAACUGCAUUCGAUACUGCCGUGCUUGAGGACUGGAGAGGAGACUGGAAUUUACGGUGUAGCGGUGAAAUGCGCAGAUAUCAGGAGGAACACCGGUGGCGAAGGCGGGUCUCUGGGCCGAUACUGACGCUGAGGAGCGAAAGCGUGGGGAGCGAACAGG
rnacentral:rRNA from 1 species